CUACGGGAGGCAGCAGUUAAGAAUCUUGCGCAAUGGGCGAAAGCCUGACGCAGCGACGCCGCGUGGAGGAUGACGGCCUUCGGGUUGUAAACUCCUUUUCUAUAGGACGAAAGCGUGCCGGUUAAUACCCGGCUAAAUGACGGUACUGUAGGAACAAGCCCCGGCCAAUUACGUGCCAGCAGCCGCGGUAAUACGUAAGGGGCAAGCGUUGUCCGGAUUCACUGGGCGUAAAGCGCGCGUAGGUGGUUUGAUAAGUCGGGUGUGAAAUCCUCGGGCUUAACCCGGGAACUGCGCCCGAAACUGUCUCACUGGAGGAACGGAGAGGUGCACGGAAUUCCCGGUGUAGGGGUGAAAUCCAUAGAUAUCGGGAGGAACACCAAUGGCGAAGGCAGUGCACUGGACGUUUCCUGACACUGAGGUGCGAAAGCGUGGGGAGCGAACGGGAUUAGAAACCCUUGUAGUCC
rnacentral:rRNA from 1 species